UAGCUGGCUACCCCAAAUAGAAUCUAAGUUCUACUUUAGAAUAAUACUUAAUUAAUUAACAUCUAAAGACAAUCAACAAAGGUACAGCUUUGUUGAUUCAGGAUACAACCUGAAUUUGUAAGAAACUAUAACUCUUAAACCUGUAGGCCCUCAAGCAGCCACCAUAAAAAAUAUCGUCGAAGAAUUAAAUUAAACAAAACCAACACCAACUAAAAACUUCAAAUUAACUAAAGGUGGAUCUACACAGGUAGAUAUCAUUAUGCUAAAACUAAUAAUAAGAUUACAUCUCUUUACGCACCCCUCCACUAGUAACAGAAAAACUACUAGUAAUUAACAGACCACAAAAGGUAAACAACAAACCCAUACACACCUUAAAACCAACUGUGACCCCAACACAGGAGCGUUAAAAAGAAAGAUUAACUGUUAUAAAAGGAACUCGGCAACCAAGGACUCCAACUGUUUAACAAAAACAUAACCUUUAGCCAAACAAGUAUUAAAGGCGACGCCUGCCCAGUGAACUAUUAAACGGCCGCGGUAUCCUAACCGUGCAAAGGUAGCAUAAUCAUUUGUCUAUUAAUUGUAGACCUGUAUGAAAGGCAUAAUGAGAGCCCAACUGUCUCUUAUAACAAAUCAAUUAAACUGAUCUCCUAGUACAAAAGCUAGAAUAUCAACAUAAGACCAGAAGACCCUGUGAAGCUUUAACUAACCUAUUAAACCCAAUAAUAAUUACUUUCGGUUGGGGCGACCUUGGAACAAAAAAGAACUUCCAACACAUGACUUCUUCAUAAAAUAGGCAUACAAGCCAACACUAGACCCAGCACAGCUGAUAAUUGAAAUAAGUUACUCCAGGGAUAACAGCGCCAUCUUCUUCAAGAGCCCAUAUCAAAAAGAAGGUUUACGACCUCGAUGUUGGAUCAGGACAUCCCAGUAAUGCAACCGUUACUAAAGGUUCGUUUGUUCAACGAUUAACAGUCC
rnacentral:rRNA from 1 species